UACGGUAGGGGGCAAGCGUUGUCCGGAUUUAUUGGGCGUAAAGAGCGUGUAGGCGGCCUGACAAGUCUGCUGUGAAAACUCGAGGCUCAACCUCGAGAUGUCGGCGGAAACUGUCUGGCUAGAGUCCGGAAGAGGAGAGUGGAAUUCCUGGUGUAGCGGUGAAAUGCGCAGAUAUCAGGAAGAACACCUAUGGCGAAGGCAGCUCUCUGGGACGGUACUGACGCUGAGACGCGAAAGCGUGGGGAGCGAACAGG
rnacentral:rRNA from 1 species